GUGAGGAAUUUUCCGCAAUGGGCGAAACCCUGACCCAGCAACGCCGCGUGAAGGAAGAAGGUUUUCGGAUCGUAAACUUCUAUCCUUGGUGAAGAUAAUGACGGUAGCCAAGAAGGAAGCCCCGGCUAACUACGUGCCAGCAGCCGCGGUAAUACGUAGGGGGCAAGCGUUGUCCGGAAUGAUUGGGCGUAAAGGGCGCGUAGGCGGCCUGGUAAGUCUGGAGUGAAAGUCCUGCUUUUAAGGUGGGAAUUGCUUUGGAUACUGUCGGGCUUGAGUGCAGGAGAGGUAAGCGGAAUUCCCGGUGUAGCGGUGAAAUGCGUAGAGAUCGGGAGGAACACCAGUGGCGAAGGCGGCUUACUGGACUGUAACUGACGCUGAGGCGCGAAAGUGUGGGGAGCAAACAGGAUUAGAAACCCUAGUAGUCC
rnacentral:rRNA from 1 species